UACAGAGGGGGCAAGCGUUAUUCGGAAUUAUUGGGCGUAAAGGGCGCGUAGGCGGCUUGGCAAGUGGAAGGUGAAAUCCCUCGGCUUAACCGAGGAACUGCCUCCCAAACUGCUUGGCUUGAGACCAGGAGAGGUGAGUGGAAUUCCCAGUGUAGCGGUGAAAUGCGUAGAUAUUGGGAGGAACACCAGUGGCGAAGGCGGCUCACUGGACUGGUACUGACGCUGAGGUGCGAAAGCGUGGGGAGCAAACAGG
rnacentral:rRNA from 1 species